rnacentral:rRNA from 1 species
UAGGGAAUCUUCCACAAUGGACGCAAGUCUGAUGGAGCAACGCCGCGUGAGUGAAGAAGGUUUUCGGACCGUAAAGCUCUGUUGUUGGUGAAGAAGGAUAGAGGUAGUAACUGGCCUUUAUUUGACGGUAAUCAACCAGAAAGUCACGGCUAACUACGUGCCAGCAGCCGCGGUAAUACGUAGGUGGCAAGCGUUGUCCGGAUUUAUUGGGCGUAAAGCGAGCGCAGGCGGAAGAAUAAGUCUGAUGUGAAAGCCCUCGGCUUAACCGAGGAAUUGCAUCGGAAACUGUUUUCUUGAGUGCAGAAGAGGAGAGUAGAACUCCAUGUGUAGCGGUGGAAUGCGUAGAUAUAUGGAAGAAUACCAGUGGCGAAGGCGGCUCUCUGGUCUGCAACUGACGCUGAGGCUCGAAAGCAUGGGUAGCGAACAGGAUUAGAUACCCUGGUAGUCCAUGCCGUAAACGAUGAGUGCUAAGUGUUGGGAGGCUUCCGCCUCUCAGUGCUGCAGCUAACGCAUUAAGCACUCCGCCUGGGGGAGUACGACCGCAAGGUUGAAACUCCAAAGUGAAUUGAC